GAUGAACGCUGGCGGCGUGCCUAAUACAUGCAAGUCGAGCGAACAGACGAGGAGCUUGCUCCUCUGACGUUAGCGGCGGACGGGUGAGUAACACGUGGAUAACCUCCCUAUAAGACUGGGAUAACUUCGGGAAACCGGAGCUAAUACCGGAUAAUAUAUUUAACCGCAUGGUUCAAUAGUGAAAGACGGUUUUGCUGUCACUUAUAGAUGGAUCCGCGCCGCAUUAGCUAGUUGGUAAGGUAACGGCUUACCAAGGCAACGAUGCGUAGCCGACCUGAGAGGGUGAUCGGCCACACUGGAACUGAGACACGGUCCAGACUCCUACGGGAGGCAGCAGUAGGGAAUCUUCCGCAAUGGGCGAAAGCCUGACGGAGCAACGCCGCGUGAGUGAUGAAGGUCUUCGGAUCGUAAAACUCUGUUAUUAGGGAAGAACAAAUGUGUAAGUAACUAUGCACGUCUUGACGGUACCUAAUCAGAAAGCCACGGCUAACUACGUG
rnacentral:rRNA from 1 species